GGGUGAUGGCGUGCCUUUUGUAGAAUGAACCGGCGAGUUACGAUUUGAUGCAAGGUUAAGCAGUAAAUGUGGAGCCGUAGCGAAAGCGAGUCUGAAUAGGGCGUUUAGUAUUUGGUCGUAGACCCGAAACCAGGUGAUCUACCCUUGGUCAGGUUGAAGUUCAGGUAACACUGAAUGGAGGACCGAACCGACUUACGUUGAAAAGUGAGCGGAUGAACUGAGGGUAGCGGAGAAAUUCCAAUCGAACCUGGAGAUAGCUGGUUCUCUCCGAAAUAGCUUUAGGGCUAGCCUCAAGUGAUGAUUAUUGGAGGUAGAGCACUGUUUGGACGAGGGGCCCCUCUCGGGUUACCGAAUUCAGACAAACUCCGAAUGCCAAUUAAUUUAACUUGGGAGUCAGAACAUGGGUGAUAAGGUCCGUGUUCGAAAGGGAAACAGCCCAGACCACCAGCUAAGGUCCCAAAAUAUAUGUUAAGUGGAAAAGGAUGUGGCGUUGCCCAGACAACUAGGAUGUUGGCUUAGAAGCAGCCAUCAUUUAAAGAGUGCGUAAUAGCUCACUAGUCGAGUGACACUGCGCCGAAAAUGUACCGGGGCUAAACAUAUUACCGAAGCUGUGGAUUGUCCUUUGGACAAUGGUAGGAGAGCGUUCUAAGGGCGUUGAAGCAUGAUCGUAAGGACAUGUGGAGCGCUUAGAAGUGAGAAUGCCGGUGUGAGUAGCGAAAGACGGGUGAGAAUCCCGUCCACCGAUUGACUAAGGUUUCCAGAGGAAGGCUCGUCCGCUCUGGGUUAGUCGGGUCCUAAGCUGAGGCCGACAGGCGUAGGCGAUGGAUAACAGGUUGAUAUUCCUGUACCACCUAUAAUCGUUUUAAUCGAUGGGGGGACGCAGUAGGAUAGGCGAAGCGUGCGAUUGGAUUGCACGUCUAAGCAGUAAGGCUGAGUAUUAGGCAAAUCCGGUACUCGUUAAGGCUGAGCUGUGAUGGGGAGAAGACAUUGUGUCUUCGAGUCGUUGAUUUCACACUGCCGAGAAAAGCCUCUAGAUAGAAAAUAGGUGCCCGUACCGCAAACCGACACAGGUAGUCAAGAUGAGAAUUCUAAGGUGAGCGAGCGAACUCUCGUUAAGGAACUCGGCAAAAUGACCCCGUAACUUCGGGAGAAGGGGUGCUCUUUAGGGUUAACGCCCAGAAGAGCCGCAGUGAAUAGGCCCAAGCGACUGUUUAUCAAAAACACAGGUCUCUGCUAAACCGUAAGGUGAUGUAUAGGGGCUGACGCCUGCCCGGUGCUGGAAGGUUAAGAGGAGUGGUUAGCUUCUGCGAAGCUACGAAUCGAAGCCCCAGUAAACGGCGGCCGUAACUAUAACGGUCCUAAGGUAGCGAAAUUCCUUGUCGGGUAAGUUCCGACCCGCACGAAAGGCGUAACGAUUUGGGCACUGUCUCAACGAGAGACUCGGUGAAAUCAUAGUACCUGUGAAGAUGCAGGUUACCCGCGACAGGACGGAAAGACCCCGUGGAGCUUUACUGUAGCCUGAUAUUGAAAUUCGGCACAGCUUGUACAGGAUAGGUAGGAGCCUUUGAAACGUGAGCGCUAGCUUACGUGGAGGCGCUGGUGGGAUACUACCCUAGCUGUGUUGGCUUUCUAACCCGCACCACUUAUCGUGGUGGGAGACAGUGUCAGGCGGGCAGUUUGACUGGGGCGGUCGCCUCCUAAAAGGUAACGGAGGCGCUCAAAGGUUCCCUCAGAAUGGUUGGAAAUCAUUCAUAGAGUGUAAAGGCAUAAGGGAGCUUGACUGCGAGACCUACAAGUCGAGCAGGGUCGAAAGACGGACUUAGUGAUCCGGUGGUUCCGCAUGGAAGGGCCAUCGCUCAACGGAUAAAAGCUACCCCGGGGAUAACAGGCUUAUCUCCCCCAAGAGUUCACAUCGACGGGGAGGUUUGGCACCUCGAUGUCGGCUCAUCGCAUCCUGGGGCUGUAGUCGGUCCCAAGGGUUGGGCUGUUCGCCCAUUAAAGCGGUACGCGAGCUGGGUUCAGAACGUCGUGAGACAGUUCGGUCCCUAUCCGUCGUGGGCGUAGGAAAUUUGAGAGGAGCUGUCCUUAGUACGAGAGGACCGGGAUGGACAUACCUCUGGUGUACCAGUUGUCGUGCCAACGGCAUAGCUGGGUAGCUAUGUGUGGACGGGAUAAGUGCUGAAAGCAUCUAAGCAUGAAGCCCCCCUCAAGAUGAGAUUUCCCAACUUCGGUUAUAAGAUCCCUCAAAGAUGAUGAGGUUAAUAGGUUCGAGGUGGAAGCAUGGUGACAUGUGGAGCUGACGAAUACUAA
rnacentral:rRNA from 1 species